rnacentral:lncRNA from 10 species
UGAAAGAUUCAGACCUCCCAUAGCCCGAGUGAUUGAUGUAUCUAAUGGGAAAGUUCAUGUUGCUGAAAGCUGUUUGGAAGAAACAGGUGGCCUGGGAGUAGAUAUUGUCCUAGAUGCUGGAGUUGGAUCCUCCAGAUAGCCACUGCCUUUUCCUCAAGGGAGCAACGUUAGCUUUCCUGAAUGAUGAAGUUUGGAAUUUGUCAAAUGUACAACAGGGAAAAUAUCUUUAGUAUUCCAAGUGCCUUGCAAGUAUUCAUUUAAACAUUAAAACAGCCUUUUGAGAUGUAAGUACUGUUAUCAUCCCCAUUUCACAGGUGAAGAAACAGAAGCACAGAGAUGUUGAUACAGACUCAAGGACGCAGCAAGUGGCGGAGCAAGAAUCACACUCAGGCAGUCUCUCUCCUUUCUGAACAGAGAUGAGCCCUAAGAUACCUGGAAGAUUUUGUUUUUAACCUCACAUUAAGGAAAGCACACAUCACCUUGAAAGGUUGCACACUUACUCCUAU